UACGGGGGGAGCAAGCGUUGUUCGGAUUUACUGGGCGUAAAGGGCGCGUAGGCGGUCAGCACAAGUCAGUUGUGAAAUCUCCGGGCUUAACUCGGAAAGGUCAACUGAUACUGUGCGACUAGAGUGCGGAAGGGGCAACUGGAAUUCUUGGUGUAGCGGUGAAAUGCGUAGAUAUCAAGAGGAACACCUGCGGCGAAGGCGGGUUGCUGGGCCGACACUGACGCUGAUGCGCGAAAGCCAGGGGAGCGAACAGG
rnacentral:rRNA from 1 species